AGUUGGCUAAUUUUUUAGGCAACUAUGCUCAAAAGUAAACAAACCAUCUGACUUGAAAGAUAUUCAAGAAAGAAUUGUUCUUACACUUUGUCAUAUUGAGAAGAUCUUUCCAAUUUCAUUCUUUGAUAUUAUGGAACACUUGCCUAUCCAUUUAGCUGAAGAAGCGUUGCUUGCGGGUCCUGUACAAUUUCAGUGGAUGUAUCCCAUUGAGAGGUUUUUAUUUACAUUAAAAGAAUAUGUUCGUAAUCGUGCAUAUCCUGAGCAUCUAUUGCUAAAGGGUACUUGAUGGAAGAAUGCAUGACAUUUUGCUCGAGAUACUUGGAUGAAGUGGAAACAAAGUCUAAUAUGCCUGAUCGAAAUUAUGAUGGUGGUACUGAUUUUGGUCGUCCUGUGGGUAAAGGAGUUAAAAUAAGCCUUGAUGAUGUUUCUAGGGCACAAGCACAUAAUUAUGUGCUAAUGAAUACAGAUUCAGUGCUUCCCUUUCGAAAGUAAGUCAUUCUUGAUUUUACAUAGAGUAUUUGGUGUUUUUGAAUCAAUUCUAACCUGCCCUUCUAUUCAGCCAACAUCUUCAAAUACUUGCGAAUCAAUGGCCUAGUAGAAACAGUCAAUAUCCAGAAUGGAGAGAAAACAUAUCGUGUCAGCAUGUUUGUCAAAACAAGAGCAAUGAAAACAAAGGAUGAUGAUGGUCAACCAAUUAAAAUUCAUGAUGAGGAGGCUACUGCUGUUAUUAGUCAAUUCAAUGAAUAUUUGGAGGAGAGGCCAGAAGAUGAACAAGAUGAUACUUUUCGUGAAGAGGUAUUCACUAAAGUGAUGGGAGAAGAUGCACAUGGACGUGUUUGCAUGUAUGAAACAGGUGUAACAUACUCCAU